rnacentral:lncRNA from 1 species
GAACUAAAGAAUUCAAUUUUAGUCAAGAAGUUUCUAUCAAAAACGAGGGGGAUUUUACAUCUGACCCAUAAACAUACCUCGAGAGAGAGACUUUCUUCUUUGUCUUCUUUUUUUUUUCUUAUGGAAGUGUUGAAGAAGUGAUGCAAAAAAAUUGCAAAAGAAACGAGAGAGAGGGAGAAGCUGUAGCUGAGUGUGUCUGCAUGAGUGUCUGCUUUUUUGUUCCUCUCUCUAUUUUAUCUUUCUAUUCACCCAAUCGUAUCAGUGGAGAGGGAGAUUUGGACUCAUUUCUAACCUUAUUUGGUCAACUUGUUCCUCCCGUCUUCCACUGGGAUUGGCAGGUGGGUCUUAUUGACAGGAUAGUUUACAGUAUGG